CCCCCACCACCACAACAUCUACACUGUGUCAUCCAGAUGGAACUUUCCUUCCCACCACCACAACAUCUACACUGUGUAAUCCAGAUGGACCUUUCCUUCCCCCACCACUACAACAUCUACACUGUGUCAUCCAGAUGGACCUUUCCUUCCCCCACCACCACAACAUCUACACUGUGUCAUCCAGAUGGAACUUUCCUUCCCACCACCACAACAUCUACACUGUGUCAUCCAGAUGGAGCUUUCCUUCCCCCACCACCACAACAUCUACACUGUGUCAUCCAGAUGGACCUUUCCUUCCCCCACCACCACAACAUCUACACUGUGUCAUCCAGAUUGAACUUUCCUUCCCCCACCACCACAACAUCUACACUGUGUAAUCCAGAUGGACCUUUCCUUCCCCCACCACCACAACAUCUACACUGUGUCAUCCAGAUGGACCUUUCCUUCCCACCACCACAACAUCUUCACUGUGUCAUCCAGAUGGAACUUUCCUUCCCCCACCACCACAACAUCUACACUGUGUCAUCCAGAUGGAACUUUCCUUCCCCCACCACCACAACAUCUACACUGUGUCAUCCAGAUGGACCUUUCCUUCCCCCACCACCACAACAUCUACACUGUGUCAUCCAGAUGGAACUUUCCUUCCCACCACCACAACAUCUACACUGUGUCAUCCAGAUGGAACUUUCCUUCCCCCACCACCACAACAUCUACACUGUGUCAUCCAGAUGGAACUUUCCUUCCCCCACCACCACAACAUCUACACUAUGUAAUCCAGAUGGAACUUUCCUUCCCCCACCACCACAACAUCUACACUGUGUCAUCCAGAUGGAACUUUCCUUCCCCCACCACCACAACAUCUACACUGUGUCAUCCAGAUGGACCUUUCCUUCCCCCACCACCACAACAUCUACACUAUGUAAUCCAGAUGGAACUUUCCUUCCAACCACCACAACAUCUACACUGUGUCAUCCAGAUGGAACUUUCCUUCCCCCACCACCACAACAUCUAUGUAAUCCAGAUGGAUUGAGAGAUGGGACUGAUAUGCUUCCCUGUGUUUCCCCAUAGGUCUGAGUGAAGACCGUGGUGUUGUGAACAGAGUGGAGACAAACAAGAGGAAACAGAGAGAGAGGAAGUGUGUGUGUGUGUGUGUGUGUGUGUGUGUGUGUGUGUGUGUGUGUGUGUGUGUGUGUGUGUGUGUGUGUGUGUGUGUGUGUGUGUGUGUGUGUUUGGUUUUACUAUCCUUGUGAGGACCAGAGUCC
rnacentral:lncRNA from 1 species